UUUCGAUUCUGUACAAUUUGAGAGUUAUACGAUUUGUAAACGUUUUUUGUCGAAGUUAAGCUUGUUUAAAUACGAGUAUAAUUUAACGAUCAUCUAGCAAUGCGUGCAAUUGCAUAGAGUGCACCUUGACCCAGCAGACCUGGCUUUGAUCGCGGUUAGAAUUUGCGUGCCAAUCAAGAUUAAGUAUCCAGCUGGCCCAGCUAACCUUUAGUGCGUAAUACGCCGUGUCUCUUUACCUACGGUACACUGAUCGUUUAAGAAAACAUUUCUUAACGUUUCAACUACAAUAAGUGUUCAAUAAAAGAUAUUUAUUUAAUGUGAACAAUAUCAUAGAAUGUUUAUUCGAUAAAUUUCACUUCUGAGAAUUCAAUAGUAAAAGGAGAAUAAGAUGAUAAUGCUCGAUAAUAAAAAACGGUUAAAACUAUAUAAAGUUUCAAAAAAUAUUCAGAUUAAUAAACGAGAAACAAGGUCGAUAAGAUUGGACAUCGGUUUACGAUCGUGCACCUACCGUGCAUCCAUGUCUUUCCAACAGGCUGAUUUAUGCGUUGGUUAAACCUCUUUCGAGGAUCAUACUGGGGGCUUCUGAUGAUGACUGAAACUCGGUUUAUGCUCGCUUCGAUCAACUUCGAUCAACUCUAUAUAAUUCAUAUCUGCAUCUUCGUUUUAACAAGGGAAAUUGGAUAAACCAAUGGAAUGCGAUUACUUCACGAAUGACAAUCAAAGGAAGGCGUUUCAUUUCUUUUUUUUUAAAACUUCUGGUUCCCAAGUUUUGAAAAGUUAAAAGAUUUUCUAUUUUUACAUUCGAAUCAAUAGAAUACAAUAAUUCGAUCAGAAAAAGA
rnacentral:lncRNA from 1 species